rnacentral:lncRNA from 1 species
GGAGCUUUGCCUUGCUGCUGAAAUGUGGAUUAAUCUGUAAUCAUGCAGGCUGGAAUUUCCUCCUCCUUUUCUUUAACUUCUGCCUCUCUCUCUUCCUUCUCCUCCUUGUUCCUCCACAUGUAUUUGUAAUGAAGAAAGUGAGGCAAAAUUGGCAUUUGUGGGUCUACGUAGUGAAAUGAGACCAAGAAUGCUUUGACCCCCUGAGUCAGUCAAAGUGCUUAGUGCUGGAAGAUAUUGUGGAGGGAUUCUCUUCUGUACACUUCAAGAUGGAGAACAAAAAUAAGCCUAAAGCCUGAACGCUAUUCCAGCCCUCUGUACAGCCUGAGCAGAAGUCCAUUUGCUGCUGUGCCAGAGAAAACUUCUCAACGGUCUUCUGCUGACAGACAUGAGAGAUGACUCAAGUUCAGCAGUGCAGGAAGAUUUCUGUGUUGUUUGAGGGCAUUUAGGAUGAAGAAGAAAGAGAGAAAGAGAGGAAAGGAGGAAGAAAGAAAGAAAAAGAAAUUCCUCUUGUCCAGUUUUGGACUCUAAGCUUCCAUUUUGCCACCUCUGAUCAGAGAAUAGAGGCUACAAAGUUGGAUCUUCAGCCUGCUACAUCUAUUUGCUGAUUAUUUGCUCUAACACCCAAACAAAAGCCUAUCCAUCAAGAGGCAAGAAGCAAUCAGCAGUCCAAGCAUCCUCAUUGUGUAGAAAGUCCCCUCACUAGAUGUGUGAUGGGUGUCUCAGUAUACUAAACAAGUGACCAGGCCUCCCAUGGACUCUAGGUGCCUCUCCACGGAAAUUCUCUCUCUCAUAUGUUUCAUUUACUCCUGAGAGUGCUCCUCUUCGUGCAUUCGUUCCCUUUCCUAUAUCUAUGUCUAUAUUUAUAUCUAUAUCUUAUAAACAAAAGGAUUUACCAUACUUUCAGCCCCAGGCCUCCACUGCAGCAUCCUUUGUAGUUAUCUAGACGCAAAGCUGAAAGUUAACUAGUUUAUGCUUUAGGUUUCAGUAAAAAUAAUGAGCAGAUAUAUUUUGAGAUUUUCUGAAAGAAUUUUAAAAUGUAUUUUCCUGACUAUUCUAAUUAUAGGUCACAACUGUAACUAACAUGCAAUUUGGUCAAGCUGUCGUAUUAUGGGAGCACGAUUCUCUCUAUGUUGUCCAUAUGUAUUGACAUAAAGCUUUUGGGAGGAAUGUGAAGAAAGGUAAUUGUGGCAGUACAAAGUAGAGAUCAAUUAUUUAUAUUACUUUGGGCAGAAGCGGGUCAGAUAUGACUUAGACUCAUUAUUUUCCUUAUUCCCUCAGGCCCCCACCAGUAAGUAUUUAUUGAUUCAUUCUCAGCAUGUGUGACUUUCCCUAAACUCUGCAUACAUGUUUUCAAGUUACAGAUGCUUCAUUUAGUUACUUGCUCAAUUAUUCACCUUAAGAAAAUCCAGUUUAUGCAAAAGUAUAUCUACAAAACAAGCAAAUCAAAGAAUUCAUCUCCCAAGACUUUCUGAACUAUAAAAUUAAGCCUUGAUUAUAAAAUUAAAAAUUACAAAAUUAAAAAAUAAAUCAUUAUGAAAUUAAUCCUUAAUGUUCUAAUGCAUCAUUGUAUAUAAUAAACUUACUUCUGUCUUAUGCUUAAAAUAGUCCUAGUCAUAAAACAUCCUUAGAAUAAUUGAGAAAGUCACCAUUUACAUUAUUUCUAUAUAUUCUGGUUCAAAUGAGAAAUCUUGAUUAAGAAAGUUUUACAUUCAAAUGCAGAGAGACACCUGGUAACUAAAAUAUAUGAAUAAAGAAGAACAUGUAUAAGGAAAAAUAACACAGAAAGUAAGAUGCUAAAUAAAAAUGCAAUAGGGGCAAAGUGUAGGAAGAUUUCCAUUAGCUACUAUAUGGGAAGAUUAGUACAAUGUUACCAGGUCUGCUUUUCUUUUUGAAAAGAACCUUGAAAUCUUAGAUGUUUUAUGUUAAAUUUCAUGGUUUUGAAAUCUUUGCAAUUCAGAUUUUUAAACUUUUAAUGUAUCAUAUAGGAAAAUACAACAUUUCUUGGUUUAUACCCACCCCCAGGCUACCAGUUAGUGAAGACCUCUGCAUUAUAAAAAUUAUCUGAAUAGUAAGCUUUCAAAGAAUAUUUUAAAAAUAUCAUCUGCUACACAAAAUUUUAUGUAAAUAGUUCUAAUUGGAAGAGAUAAGGUAAAAAUGCAUUUUGGAGACAGUACUGCUUACCCAAUAUGUAGAGUUCUUGAAUUUAAUAACACGCCAAAUAGGGCCAGACUGUUCUCAAUGUGGCUUGAGGGUUAGACCUUACUUUUAUGUGUUUGGCAAAUUGAGGAGAUGUGCAUUUCAUCGACCUAUCAUAUUAAUCAAAUAUAACAAAUGCUUUUCUAAUCACUAAGUUAUUCUAAUACAGGAUGUGGAAUUCCUGAACUCUCAUUGAUCUGGCAUUAAUUAGGUACAUAUGAAGCAUGAUAUUCUAUACAAUUUUGAGAAGGAAGAGCAUUAUAAAAUUGCAAAGUUUCACUUUUUGUCUUCAUGAUUAAUUUGGCUAAGAGUUUCCUAUAACAAGUGCUUGCUUGGUGUAUUUGUUUAUCCUGGUGAGGAGUUUGUGUUUUGCUUUUGUUUUUAUUUUUAUCUAAAGUUUAUUAUCCAACCAACUGUUCUAUUGAAUGAGUUCCUGUUACAGUUCCAUCGACAAAUAUUUUUACAAUGAAACACUUAAAUGUUUAACCUUAUCUCUGAGAGUCUCCCCUCCCACUUAGUGCUCCAACUGUACUGAACAGCCUGACAUUCCCUGAAGCCCCCUUCCUUUUAUGCCUCUGAGUUUGCACAUGCUCUGCUUUGCUUGGGAUGUCCCAUCUUUUAUCUGCUUCCUUAACUCCUUAGUUAUCCUGGAAAACACAGCCUAGAGGUUUCCUCCUGCAAGAAGCUGUCCUUCUUUCUCACAACCCCAAACUGUAACCACUUCAAGAGUUUACCCAAGUAAUAGAUGCGUACGUUCAACGCUUCCGUUAGUGAACUGUACAGUCUUGCAAUUUAUUUAUUUUAAAGUCUGCUCUCCCUUGGAGAUAAUGAGCUCCCUGUCUGGUUAGGGGCUGUGUUUUGUUUAUGUCUAUGUUCCCACACUCUCACGCCCAGCCUUCUCCAUUGGUAGUUGGUUAAGUAAGGCUGGAUUGAAUUUAAUUAAGUGUCAAAUAUUUCUUCAUAGAUACUGGCUAUUGGUAUCUUACUUUUAACCCAAAAUAUAUUUAUUUACCAUUUUAAAAAUCAAAAACUAAUCAACAUCACCACAACAAAUGCCAACCUCCACCUCUUUUAUUUUUGCAAUUUUUGUUCAUUGAGAAAUAGUCACAGCGACAGAAACACAUUAGUGUAAGUGGAUUUACAGAAGUAUCAAUAAGUGUGAAAUGCUCCCAGCGAUCCACUAGAAGUGUCAGUGAAGGUUCAUAAUUACACUAUCUUUAGAGCGAUUCCAGCCCAAUUCCUUAGCUCAGUCUUCAGGGAGAAUGGGCUGUAGACUCAGAGAUUCUUAACUUCCUAAAUCUUCAGUGGGGAACAGCAGCCCCUUGCCCCAGGAACCAGGCAUUGGGAGAAAUAGUGAGGUAAGGGCUGUUACAGCUUCUCGCAUCAGUUAUUACAAAGAAAAGGGACAGAGUCAACCAAUUGCUGACAUCUUUAGAGAAUUCUCUCUCUCUUUCUCUCUCUCUCUCUCUCUUCUUUGAGUGAGAAAUGUAAGUGGGUGCCCUGCGUUUAAGGAAGCCCCUUGGUGGCUGCUUUGUCUCAGAAUCCUGUUUCUCCUCAGUGAAGUGGAAGUGGGAUUGGAGUUUUCUCCACUUUCGCAAGGAGUAGCCACAAAGGCAGUCAAAGACAGUGACAUACACAUCCACAAAGUUCCUUAUGACACUUCUGUCAUCACUUGUUUCCUGCAGGAUCCUGAGGCAGGGUCGCCAUCCACUAACCCCUCUGAGGAGGCGAUCAGGCAAUCGGUUUACGUGUGUAUUUGUACUUUCCAGAUUGAUCUGUGCAGGGAGAAUAAAACAUUUUCCUCCUCCCUCCCUUCCCUCCCCCGUUUCACUCUACUUGGAGGGCGUGCAUAUGUGUGUGCGCGCGCGCACGCGUGUGUCUUUAGCAAAGGCUCUUGGAAGAAGCCACCCCUCUUGCAACCUCCAUCUCUACCUGAAACAUUUCCCCACCAAGAAGGGUCUCUAAUCUGUGCUCAGUCGAAGUGCCCUCUCCCUGCUGAUUCAGACAGACUCAGUGCUGAGCUGACGCUUUGGUGCUCUGGGAGAGCUGCUUGCCUCCCUCCUGGCGCGCUGAGCUCUUCCGGGGAUGCGCGAGCGCUGCUGCGUGUGUGGGGGUGUAAAUGAGCCUGUGUGUGUGAGUGACAGCUUCCUCGCCUCCUGCACUGUGCAGGUAGCGCGCACCCAAGACUAGAGAAAACAAGCCUCCGCCCCCUCAGCCAGGCGAUUGGCUGAUUUUUCUCCGUUCCUCGGUAGGACGAGGGAAGGACCAGCGACAUCCUCCAGCUCAACUGCAGUAAGGGCAGCCACCUCCAAUGCACGAGGCGGCUCACCUAAAAGGAAAGCUCAGCCAGGGAGGCGGCUUGGAGCGCCCUGGAUCCGGCUGAUGAUCUCCCCUCGGCUGUUCUCCCCCAAACCGAACCUUCCUAUCAAAAGAAGGUGCUGGAGCUGGUAUCUCCGGGACUUUUCCGGGCACCCAAAAUGCGCUCCUUCAGGAAGAGGUGGACGAGCUGCACGAUAAGUCUGCUCCUGAUCUUUUUAAGACAAAAGAAAAAGCAAGAACUGAGGGCCAGAGGGAAGUACAACUCAUGGGGUAACUCAGGAUAUAACAAAAAGUCAAGUCAUUAAAUGAAAUGUGAACAUAGAAGGUAGAGUGAGAGCUGAAAUUGUGUGUUCGUGUGCGCUUGUGCGUGUUUAGUCUCAUGAAUUAAAAAACAAAGACUGUUGUUGAGAAUUGUAUGCUUCUCUACACUGUUCCCAGCACGAGUUCAGCUUGCCCUGUGCGGUAGUAGUGACAGCUGUGUUGGCUCCCAGGGCUCACCACGUCAAAGGAGGAGUCACUGCAGAAGUGUCAACAGAAACGUGUGCCCUUGUUCCUCUAAUUUGAGCAGAAGUUAAACGAAAUAUCUGUUUCACCAUCCUGUUGCCUGUCCUUCUUGCUCUGCCCCAUCACUCUAGUGAGACAGUUGGUUUCCCAAGAGACUGAGGUUCAAGUCCCCAAAGCAGAGAAUGCCUCCUCCUCUCUGUCUCCCUAUUCCCUGGCUACUGUAGAUUUAUGGACUGAAUCAGAAACGACGGUACUAUCAAAGAUACCACGUUAUUUGCCCUCCUUGGAGUAAAGAUUUUUAUAGGCUUGGGUGUACUUGUAGAAACUGGGUACUGCACACAUAGAUUUGGUAAACUCUCUCGUGUUCGUCCAGAUGAGGUCUUAAGUUCAACAAAUAUCUCUGUGAUUUUAAAGCUUCCCCAGGAGGUGGCUAUGAUUUUGUGUUGCUGACAUAUCUUGGAACUAUUUCUGAGGAUGUGAACCUGAAUGUGAACUCAUUUAAUAGUCUAUUUCUGUAAAUCCUACUUCUCUUAUACGAGAAAGUGUACAUCCCAAAAAGUAUAGGCGUAGGUCUUUGUCCUAAUGUAAAUGUAUUUCGUUAGUUCUUUAUAUUGCUUAUCCACUAUCCUUAAAAUAUGUAGAAUAAGUAGCAUUUAUAACUUAUCUUAACCAUUAAUCAAAAUAAACUAUUAGGCUACUUAAAAUUCCUCUUACUUUCAUGGACCUGGCAUUUUUUGCAUUUCAUUUCAGAGAAGGUGAAUUCUGUUUGAAUGGAUCUCUCAUUAAGAGUUCUUCAAUCUUUAGCACUCUCUGGAAGUUUGCAAAGUCAAUUCCUCUUUGGUCUUGGACAUAUAAUGAGUUUCUUUAAUAAUGCAUAAUGAAUUUCACAUCGUGUCAUGGAUAGCUUGUGCUUGACCAACAUAUUAAACACUCAUACUUUAAAUAUAGAUGUUUUAAUAAGAGCUCAAUUUAAUGAUGCUCAGUGAAUGAUGAAUCUAUAAAAAUAAAACCAUCACAUGAUUGGCAUGUCCAGGGAUCAACUUGUGAGUUUUGAAUACACUAUCUUCACACUGUUAGAUUAAAA